UGAGGAAUAUUGGGUCAAUGGGCGGAAGCCUGAACCAGCCAAGUAGCGUGAGGGAAGACUGCCCUACGGGUUGUAAACCUCUUUUGUUUGGGAAUAAAGUGCGGGACGCGUCCCGCAUUGCAUGUACCAUUUGAAUAAGGACCGGCUAAUUCCGUGCCAGCAGCCGCGGUAAUACGGAAGGUCCGGGCGUUAUCCGGAUUUAUUGGGUUUAAAGGGAGCGCAGGCCGUGGGUUAAGCGUGUCGUGAAAUUCCGUCGCUCAACGGCGGACGUGCGGCGCGAACUGGUCCACUUGAGUACGCGGGACGUUGGCGGAAUUCGUGGUGUAGCGGUGAAAUGCUUAGAUAUCACGAAGAACUCCGAUUGCGAAGGCAGCUGACGGUAGCGCAACUGACGCUGAGGCUCGAAAGUGCGGGUAUCGAACAGGAUUAGAUACCCUGGUAGU
rnacentral:rRNA from 1 species